GCCCAGCUGUGGUCAAGGAGAGUCCCUGAGACUGAGAGGGAAGGUCACCUAUCCCUUUGGUGGCUAAAACCAGCAAGGACCCCUCUCACAAACACAAGCACACAUCUUGUGAUGAUCUAUGGUUGGGCUGAAACUUAGUCAACCCCCUCUCCUGGCAAUUUCUCUUGUAUCCCUUUCUUAUAGCUACCUGUACGUGGUACCAUUGAUCCCAUGGGUAUUGGAUCUGGGUUUACAAAACUUGAAGCUCCAGACCACGCCGAAGAACCUGGGGCUGCUCAAUGGCUGAUGUCUUAAGCAGGAGGCUGGCAGAGGGGCCAUUGAAGCUACCACUGCAUGUGGACAUGGAUUGCUGCACUAACUGAGAUGUCACAAAUGGAAACGAUCACUGCAAACAGCACCACUUCUAACCAAGAAGAACUCCUGCGACUCCAGGAUUUUAAUAACUGAUUUCAAUAACUCUUACCUUACGCUACGCAUGAUGGCAGCUAGUGGAGAGCUUUCCUUUGAUUCUAAUUUACAGCAAUUUCAUUAGAACCUUGAAUCUCAAACUCAAUCAAUUACUGCCUUACCUCUGGAAUCCAGCUUUUCUUCAUGUUUGAACUAAGGCUGUACUGAGGUCAGGAGCCAAGUGGCCCUGAUGGAUCCUAAUUGUAGCAGGUUAUUGCUGAAUAAAUGCAGAUUAAUA